UAGUGUUUUGAUUGGUGGUUUAGCAGAAGGUGUACACAUAAACUAAUAAGAUGAUGUGGAUUAUUUUUGAAAAAAUUAGUAUUAGGUGUCCCAAAAUAAUUUGAAGCAUUGGAUUUAAUAUAUAUGAAUAGAUGUUUAUUUUUCUUUUAGAAUUUAGAUUUCCUUGAUUAGAUUUUUAUUUCCAGUUUUAAAAGUGAAAAUAGUUUUUUUAGAGAUUAAAAU
rnacentral:lncRNA from 1 species